AGCGAGGCUAGAGUCACGGCCGGACACACUCCAUUGUCCUGCUGUGCUAGAGUUCUCGCAGAGUAAAUGUCUCGGCUUAUUCAUUGGCUGCAGCCUGUCGUGGUCCAGUCAAUCACCAACUCAGACACAACC